rnacentral:misc_RNA from 1 species
UCCGAGUUGACCCCGGCAGUCUCCUAUGAGUCCCCGGUAUAACCCGCUGGCAACAUAGAACGGGGGUUGCGCUCGUUGCGGGACUUAACCCAACAUCUCACGACACGAGCUGACGACAACCAUGCACCACCUGUGCGGGCUCCGAAGAGCACCGUGUUUCCACGGUUUCACCCCGCAUGUCAAGCCCAGGUAAGGUUCUUCGCGUCGCGUCGAAUUAAGCCACAUGCUCCGCCGCUUGUGCGGGCCCCCGUCAAUUCCUUUGAGUUUUAGCCUUGCGGCCGUACUCCCCAGGCGGGGUGCUUAAUGCGUUAGCUUCGGCACGGAUGGGGUUGAUAUCCACCCACACCUAGCACCCAACGUUUACGGCUAGGACUAC